UGCAAAGGGUAGUUUCUUCUUGAAAAUGCCCCCUAAUCGCUCCACAUUCCGGAUGCGACGUUACGCUAUCGACCCUACUGCUCCUACACCGGCACAGUCUUCGAUCUUGCACUGACUUAGCCGGGUUGCCGCAUUCCGUGGGCAGCACAAAACAGGAGAAUACGACGAUGGCAAAUGGCACCGUCAAAUGGUUCAACACCACCAAAGGCUACGGCUUUAUUGCACCAGAAGAUGGUGGACGCGAUGUGUUCGUGCACAUUUCGGCUGUUGAGCGCGCAGGCCUGACCGGCCUGGCUGACAACCAGAAAGUUACUUUCGACAUCGAGCCCGGCCGUGACGGCCGUGAAGCGGCUGUAAACAUCGCAGUUGUUUGAGCUCUUAUAUUGAAGGGCGGGUCAGUUGACGACCCGCCCUUUACG
rnacentral:misc_RNA from 1 species